rnacentral:rRNA from 1 species
CCAAGAAGUCUAACGUGUGGGCGAGUCUUCGGGGACCUUGUGAACCCUAUGAAGGCGCAAUAAAAGUGAAGGUCCCGCGCGUGCGCCCUGGCCUCGUGUCGGGGUUUGCGUGCGUGGGGCUGCAGUGGGAUCCCCAGUCUAAGGGCUGGGGCGCACCACUGGCCCGUCCUAUGACCGCUUCGCCGGUCGGGCGGAGCAAGAGCCCACGCGUUGGGACCCGAAAGAUGGUGAACUAUGCCUGGGCAGGACGAGGCCAGAGGAAACUCUGGUGGAAGUCCGCAGCGGUUCUGACGUGCAAAUCGAUCGUCGGACCUGGGUAUAGGGGCGAAAGACUAAUCGAACCAUC